GACGAACCGAGCGAACGUUGUUCGGAAUCACUGGGCGUAAAGCGCACGUAGGCGGAUCUUUAAGUCAGAGGUGAAAUCCCAAGGCUCAACCUUGGAACUGCCUUUGAUACUGGGGAUCUCGAGUCCGGAAGAGGUGAGUGGAACUGCGAGUGUAGAGGUGAAAUUCGUAGAUAUUCGCAAGAACACCAGUGGCGAAGGCGGCUCACUGGUCCGGUACUGACGCUGAGGUGCGAAAGCGUGGGGAGCAAACAGG
rnacentral:rRNA from 1 species